CUGCGGCAUGCAUAGGGGAACUUCCAGCAGCACCACAUCUUGGAACAAAGAGUAGAUGUCCAACUUACCAGAGGGCAACAUCCUACCAAAAUCCCAAGGCGAACAGAAAGAUACAAGGGGUGAGAAGCAGCCUCCUUUAUUGGAUAAAACCAAGCCUUUCAUACCCGACCAUGUCAACAUGAGUAACUAAUCAAAAUAAUUAGAAGGUGCUUACAGCUGAAUACUGAUCAAGCCUUCUUCCUGUUGGUGAGCAGAAAUAGUAUGGUGAGCAUUUCCACACUGGUUUCCAAGGUGUAUAAAAAUGACAAGAAUGAAGAUGGAUUCCUGUAAAUGGUAUAUGACUCUCCGGAGACAUUUGGAAUGAAAUUUCUAU
rnacentral:lncRNA from 1 species